ACGCUGGCGGCACGCCUAACACAUGCAAGUCGAACGAAGUAGCAAUACUUAGUGGCAGACGGGUGAGUAACAUGUAGGUAUCUGCCCUUUGGCCUGGAAUAACACGAGGAAACUUGUGCUAAUACCGGAUAAGUCUUUACGGAGAAAGCUUUAUGCACCAUUGGAUGAGCCUGCACUUGAUUAGUUUGUUGGUGGGGUAAUGGCCUACCAAGACUGUGAUCAAUAGCUGAUUUGAGAGGAUGAUCAGCCACAUUGGGACUGAGACACGGCCCAAACUCCUACGGGGGGCAGCAGUGGGGAAUCUUGCACAAUGGAGGAAACUCUGAUGCAGCGAUGCCGCGUGAGUGAAGAAGGCCCUUGGGUUGUAAAGCUCUUUCGUCGGGGAAGAAAAUGACUGUACCCGAAUAAGAAGGUCCGGCUAACUUCGUGCCAGCAGCCGCGGUAAUACGAAGGGACCUAGCGUAGUUCGGAAUUACUGGGCUUAAAGAGUUCGUAGGUGGUUGAAAAAGUUAGUGGUGAAAUCCCAGAGCUUAACUCUGGAACUGCCAUUAAAACUUUUUAGCUAGAGUAUGAUAGAGGAAAGCAGAAUUUCUAGUGUAGAGGUGAAAUUCGUAGAUAUUAGAAAGAAUACCAAUUGCGAAAGGCAGCUUUCUGGAUCAUUACUGACACUGAGGAACGAAAGCAUGGGUAGCGAAGAGGAUUAGAUACCCUCGUAGUCCAUGCCGUAAACGAUGUGUGUUAGACGUUGGAAAUUUAUUUUCAGUGUCGCAGGGAAACCGAUAAACACACCGCCUGGGGAGUACGACCGCAAGGUUAAAACUCAAAUGAAUUGACGGGGACCCGCACAAGUAGUGGAGCAUGUGGUUUAAUUCGAAGAUACGCGCAGAACCUUACCAACACUUGACAUGUUCGUCGCGACUCUAAGAGAUUAGAGUUUUCGGUUCGGCCGGACGAAACACAGGUGCUGCAUGGCUGUCGUCAGCUCGUGUCGUGAGAUGUUGGGUUAAGUCCCGCAACGAGCGCAACCCUCACUUUUAGUUGCCAUCAUUAAGUUGGGCACUCUGAAAGAACUGCCAGUGAUAAGCUGGAGGAAGGUGGGGAUGACGUCAAGUCCUCAUGGCCCUUACGUGUUGGGCUACACACGUGCUACAAUGGUAUCUACAACAGGAAGCAAGACUGCGAAGUUAAGCAAAUCCCUAAAAGAUACCUCAGUUCGGAUUGCACUCUGCAACUCGAGUGCAUGAAGCUGGAAUUACUAGUAAUCGUGGAUCAGCGUGCCACGGUGAAUGCGUUCCCGGGUCUUGUACUCACCGCC
rnacentral:rRNA from 1 species